rnacentral:rRNA from 1 species
UACGUAGGACCCGAGCGUUAUCCGGAUUUAUUGGGUUUAAAGGGUGCGUAGGCGGACUAAUACGUCAGUGGUGAAAGCCCAUCGCUUAACGGUGGAAUUGCCAUUGAUACUGUUAGUCUUGAGUAUGGUUGAGGUGGGCGGAAUGUGUCAUGUAGCGGUGAAAUGCUUAGAUAUGACCCAGAACACCGAUUGCGAAGGCAGCUCGCUAAGCCAUAACUGACGCUGAGGCACGAAAGCGUGGGGAGCAAACAGG